UUGUUGCAGUUAAAAAGCUCGUAGUUGAUAUUCGGGUAAAGAAGCUUCUUUAUUGAAGUUUUCUGAGCCUAGGUCUGUACUUGUACAGACCAGUUACUUUGAGAAAAUUAGAGCGCUUAAAGCAGUCAUUGAAUACGUUAGCAUGGAAUAACAGAAGGACGACAUUUCUUUUGUGGGAAUAUCGUAAUUGAUUAACAGGGACAGUCGGGGGCAUCAGUAUUCAGGAGCUAGAGGUGAAAUUCUUGGAUUUCCUGAAGACUAACUAAUGCGAAAGCAUUUGCCAAGGAUGUCUUCAUUAAUCAAGAACGAAAGUUAGGGGAUCGAAGACGAUCAGAUACCGUCGUAGUCUUAACAGUAAACUAUGCCGAUAGAGUGGAGGAUGGACUAUCAAAUCUAUUCUCCGCUCAAGCGAAAGCAGUUGGUUCUGGGGGGAGUAUGGUCGCAAGGCUGAAACUUAAAGGAAUUGACGGAAGGGCACCACCAGGAGUGGAGCCUGCGGCUUAAUUUGACUCAACACGGGGAAACUCACCAGGUCCAGACACAAUGAGGAUUGACAGAUUGAGAGCUCUUUCAUGAUUUUGUGGGUGAUGGUGCAUGGCCGUUCUUAGUUGGUGGAGUGAUUUGUCUGCU
rnacentral:rRNA from 1 species